rnacentral:misc_RNA from 1 species
GAUGAAGAACGCAGCGAAAUGCGAUGCUUGGUGUGAAUUGCAGAAUCCCGUGAACCAUCGAGUCUUUGAACGCAAGUUGCGCCUCAAGCCAUUAGGUUGAGGGCACGUCUGCCUGGGCGUCACAUAUCGUUGCCUGAUGCCAGUUUCCUCGUGAUGGGUGACUGUGCAGGGCGAAUGAUGGCUUCCCGUGAGCAUUGUUGCCUCAUGGUUGGUUGAAAAUUGAGUCCUUGGUAGGGAGCGCCGUGAUAGAUGGUGGUUGAGUGACGAACGAGACCCAAUCAUGUGAGACCCCUACCGAAUUUGGCCUUCAUGACCCACAUGCGUCUUUGGAACGCUCAUGACGAGACCUCAGGUCAGGCGGGGCUACCCGCUGAGUUUAAGCAUAUCAAUAAGCGGAGGA